UUCUAGGGUCCGCCCCGCGCCAUACACCUGUCCUACCUGCACAAUUAUCUGGAUGAUAAAAUAACCGUUUCUUUCAGACAGAAAUAGUUUCUCAUCAAGUAAGCAACCAGGUUAAUUCCCAACGUCCACUGUGUGUAUUUGGCUUUUCUUUUAAAAACGUUAGUCUACCUGUAUGAUACAUCAUGGAGAAAAGACCAAUCAAAUUUGGGAUUAUUCUUAUUUUGGCUGUUUCAGCACUCCUUUUCUUUGCUGAUGUUGUGCCUGUUUCCCGUUUGUGGAGGGCAACCCCCAGCAGCAGUGACAAGACCACCCCAGCUACGCUGUCCGCAUACUACUUAUGCGUCAGAAUCACCAACCAGAUUUACACUGAGUCACUCAAUAAUCAAAGCUCUAAGGAGUACAAACAGCUGAGGAAACAGGUGGAACAGAUGAUGGAUGACGUCCACAGCUCUUUGCCAGAGUCUGACAAAUAUAUGGGUGUAUUUGAUAUCAUCUUCAGUAAUGGAUCAGUCAUUGCAAACUCGACAUUAAUGUUUGGGACUACAUUCAUGAUCAUUCCAACUUUAGCUAAAGGUCUACUUUCCAUUCAUAUCCAAUCAAAUAAAUCCAAAACCCUUGACCUGGACCUCGCCUAUACUGAAGGUCAACUUCCAAUAAAAGCCACACUACCUCUUGUAGCACGUACAACAGCAACUGUAACUUACUCACCACCAUCUACCACAAAUACCCCUGCAGCAACGACUAAUACAGUUGCCUUAGUUAGUACGGCUAGCCGUUCAGGAAGGGUCGGGGAUGGAACUGCAUCUACAGCAAUGAUUUCAUCUGGCAACAUCACCAGUCUUGCAACAAUUAAUAUCACAAGUAGUCAUACCCUCACAACCACAGCCACCACCACUAGUCCUGACCAAAACAGCACAAUUAGCAGCAUUACCACUCAUAUUCCUGAAGACCAUAUCACUACAAUUAGCAACAUUACCACUCAUAUUCCUGAAGAACAUAUCACUACAAUUAGCAACAUUACCACUCAUAUUCCUGAAGAACAUAUCACUACAAUUAGCAACAUUACCACUCAUAUUCCCGAAGACCAAAAGACUACAAUUAGCAACAUAACCACCCCUAGCCCUGGGGACCCUAACAUAACAAUUAGCAACGUAAGCACCCAUAUUCCUGGAGACCACAACAAUACAAUUAGCAACACAACCACCCCUGCUCCUGAAGACCACAACAUUACAAUUAGCAACAUAACCAUCCCUAGCCCUGGGGACCCUAACAUAACAAUUAGCAACGUAAGCACCCAUAUUCCUGGAGACCACAGCAAUACAAUUAGCAACACAACCACCCCUAUUACCCCUAAAAAUCCUCCCCAGACCAGUAGCACGACACAUAAGACCACAGAGAAUGCUGCAGCUGUAGUUGCUGGGAGCGGAGAGGGAGUCCCAGGAUGGGGGAUCGCUCUAUUGGUACUGGCUGUCCUGACCUUGUUAAUCCUCCUUAUUCUCCUAAUACUGCUGCUAGUGUGGUUGUGCUGUAGGCAGAGAUAUGGAAGUUUCAGCCCAUAUAACCAGAUCAACCACGGGGCAGACAUCCAAAUGUACUCCACACACAGCCGCUUCGACGUGCCCAACGGCAAGCCUAAUGACGAAAUGCGGGGACCAUCGAAAAACCGAACAGGGAUGCAUGUGGUGAACGAGUACUGACACACAGGGGGAUGGGGUUCAAUGUGAGGUUCGAAUAGGUAGACUACUGAUUAUUGCCGAUAUAGAAGCUCCAGUCAAUUGGGUAAGAAGACCAUCUGAAAUGGCCUUAUGAAGUAAUAUGCAUGGGAGCAAUGACAAUUCUGUACAAAUGGUCCAAUUAUCUCUGAAGUAUCUGAAUGAAGAUCAUGGCGUUGGCUCACUGAUUGUAAUUUCAACCUGUAUUUAUUAAAAUCAAAUCACAUUUAUUUAUAAAGCCAUUUUUACAUCAGCUGAUGUCAAAGUGCUAUACAGAAACCCAGCCUAAAACCCCAAGCAGCAAGCAAUGCAAUGUCCUAAUGUUAUUUUAUUCCUAAUGUUUUUACCAGUGGAGGUUGCUGAGGGGAGGACGGCUCAUAAUAGCCGGAAUGAAGUCAAUGGAAUGGUAUCAAAGACAUCAAACACGUGGUUUCCAUGUGGUUGUUACCAUUCCAUUGACUCCAUUUGUAUUUCAUAUUAUUCUGUACGUAA